rnacentral:rRNA from 1 species
GACGAACGCUGGCGGCGUGCCUAAUACAUGCAAGUUGAGCGCUGAAGGUUGGUACUUGUACCAACUGGAUGAGCAGCGAACGGGUGAGUAACGCGUGGGGAAUCUGCCUUUGAGCGGGGGACAACAUUUGGAAACGAAUGCUAAUACCGCAUAAAAACUUUAAACACAAGUUUUAAGUUUGAAAGAUGCAAUUGCAUCACUCAAAGAUGAUCCCGCGUUGUAUUAGCUAGUUGGUGAGGUAAAGGCUCACCAAGGCGAUGAUACAUAGCCGACCUGAGAGGGUGAUCAGCCACAUUGGGACUGAGACACGGCCCAAACUCCUACGGGAGGCAGCAGUAGGGAAUCUUCGGCAAUGGACGAAAGUCUGACCGAGCAACGCCGCGUGAGUGAAGAAGGUUUUCGGAUCGUAAAACUCGGUUGGUAGAGAAGAACGUUGGUGAGAGUGGAAAGCUCAUCAAGUGACGGUAACUACCCAGAAAGGGACGGCUAACUACGUG